GUCUCACUUUGUAGACCAGGUUGACCUGGAACUCACAGAGAUCCACCUGCCUCUGCCUCCUGAGUGCUGGGAU
rnacentral:miRNA from 1 species